AGUAUAGACUCCAAGACGCUGUGCAACAGCCGAGUAGUGAUCGAAAAGGUUAGAAUCCUGGCCAUCGUACAUCAACUGGGCUGGCAUUGUAAUUUUUUUCCUCAUCAUGUCAGCAACAGCCAUCACAGUGCCAUCUGGGUCAACUUCAAAUAGCUUCUCCACAAUCUUGGUAUACGCGGUUUCGUGGCGCUUCUCAUCUGCAGCAAUUAUACCACAUACCUGUGCUAGUUUCAUGUCCCCAUGCUCCUUAGCAUGCCGAGCUGUAUUUCCAUGAGAAAUGAAGGUAGCCCUCUCUUGGAAGGAAGUGUAGAUAAAACCCAGAUACGGAUUAUUUUCCGUGCGAGGAUCCAUCCCUGAACCAAUGAGGUACUGAAUUGUCUUUUCAAUUUGCCUCAUAUCAACUCUUCCAGAAAGAUAUAAAUAUUUGUUGAGAAGGUCACCA
rnacentral:misc_RNA from 1 species